UCUCUCUCUCUCUCUCAUUCUCUCUCUCACUCUCUCGCUCUCAUUGUUGUUCAGGGUGGAGGUUGAAACUGGAUUUAACUGACUCCUAAAGAAAGUAAAGAGAACUGAAGGAGAGGAUAAGGUGUGUUGAUGAGGAGUGAAUGUAAAGAACAGAUCACCACAUUGAACAGAAAGCUGAUGUUGAAGUGGAAAAAUGGAUGAAUCUACAAACUCAACAUGAAUUUGCACAUUUCACACAGAGAUUUUUCGGGCAGUGGAAUUGGCCUAGCUGCACCCCAAGCCUGACUCCAUAUUGCCGCCAGGUGUAGGCUGACUCCGGUAUGGACAACGAACUGGUCAGCACCAGAAACAGUCUUCCUCCACCGAUAUUUGUUUCCGCUCUGUGUGUCGGUAGUUGUUUGAAGUGGAGGUACAGAAGUGGGAAGCUUUGAGUGCAGGUGUCUGAGUGGGAUUUGCAGGGCAACAAGGCACACACACACACUUACACAUACACACAGCUGUCUUUGUUGCGUCCACCACCUGGUUAGUGUAUUGGUUUACUUCCCGCCAUUUUAAUCAUUUGUGUUUUCAUUCAUUCAUUCAUUAUCGUAUUUAAUAUACAAUUUUCAUUUAAUGCAAUAUUAUUUGUAAAAUCAGAAAAGGCUGGGUUGAUCUAUGUUUAGCCUGUUUACAGGUUUGGAUAUAUUUUAAGUUUUUCAAUACACAUAUAUAGUAAAAAAUUCAAAAUGUGCAUUUGUCAUCAUAAUUUAUCUUAAAUAAUGUAAUAUUUAAUUGCAAAUAUAGCUUCAAAUGUCUGGUCAUGUGCAUGAGUGUCCACAGACCGCUCUUUCCUUACCACUGGCUUGAUCAAACCCAGAAACAGAGGAACGGAGAGACAGGGACAAACAACACAACCGUGUCUCUCACACAAACACACAUAGUGGACAAUAACAGCACUGUGUACGGGGAAAGAAGAUCCGGCAGGUCGAGAUACCACAGGAGAGCAGUGCCUGUCUGUCUGCAUCUGCUUUGCUCUGCCUGCUGUUUGAUGUGCAGGGAUUAGGGGAAAUCUGAGAGUUCCCACUUUAACUGAGCCAUAGAGAUGUUAACAUGCAAGAACAGAUACACACACAUUGCUCAGAUCAAAUUAUGUCUCUAAACAAAAUGAAUGAAUGCAGAUUUACUUAAUGCAAAUGUUGUAAAUAUAUGAUUUGUAGUGCUUAAAUACCUAUGGGACUCUACACACUGAUACCCGGUUAAGUUAAUGACACAUGCCUGUUAUGAGUAUCUACUGCUCUCUAUUGGACAGGGGAAGUAAUUGACGCCCUUUUUGCAGCAUCUUUUUUUGCUUACUAUUUCCUAAAUUAAAAUAUAAAAGAAAUAAUACUC